rnacentral:rRNA from 1 species
GUGGGGAAUAUUGCGCAAUGGGGGAAACCCUGACGCAGCAACGCCGCGUGAUUGAAGAAGGCUUUCGGGUUGUAAACUUCUUUUGUCAGGGACGAAAAAAAUGACGGUACCUGACGAAUAAGCCACGGCUAACUACGUGCCAGCAGCCGCGGUAAUACGUAGGUGGCAAGCGUUAUCCGGAUUUACUGGGUGUAAAGGGCGUGUAGGCGGGAAAGCAAGUCAGAUGUGAAAACUAUGGGCUCAACCCAUAGCCUGCAUUUGAAACUGUUUUUCUUGAGUACUGGAGAGGCAGAUGGAAUUCCUAGUGUAGCGGUGAAAUGCGUAGAUAUUAGGAGGAACACCAGUGGCGAAGGCGAUCUGCUGGACAGCAACUGACGCUGAGGCGCGAAAGCGUGGGGAGCAAACAGGAUUAGAAACCCGAGUAGUCC